GACGUAGGUGGCGAACGUUAUCCGGAAUUAUUGGGCGUAAAGGGUGCGUAGGUGGCCUGGCAAGUUAUCAGUGGUAAAUCGAGGCCCAACCUCGUGGAAACUGGCAAUACUGCUUGGCUUGAGUGCAGGAGAGGUUAACGGAACUCUAUGUGGAGCGGUAAAAUGCACAGAUAUAUAGAAGAACAUCAAUAACGGCGAAGGCAGUUAACUAUUCUGUUACUGACACUGAGGCACGAAAGCGUGGGGAGCGAACAGG
rnacentral:rRNA from 1 species